UACGUAGGGGGCAAGCGUUGUCCGGAUUCAUUGGGCGUAAAGGGCGCGUAGGCGGCCGUCCAAGUCGGGUGUGAAAUCCCUCGGCUCAACCGAGGAACUGCACUCGAUACUGGUCGGCUAGAGUCCGGGAGGGGAUGGUGGAAUUCCCAGUGUAGCGGUGAAAUGCGUAGAUAUUGGGAAGAACACCGGUGGCGAAGGCGGCCAUCUGGACCGGAACUGACGCUGAGGCGCGAAAGCCAGGGGAGCGAAUGGG
rnacentral:rRNA from 1 species